UAGGGAAUCUUCCGCAAUGGACGAAAGUCUGACGGAGCAACGCCGCGUGAGUGAAGAAGGAUUUCGGUUCGUAAAACUCUGUUGUUAGGGAAGAAAAAAUGUAUAGUAACUAUAUACAAAAGAGACGGUACCUAACCAGAAAGCCACGGCUAACUACGUGCCAGCAGCCGCGGUAAUACGUAGGUGGCAAGCGUUGUCCGGAAUUAUUGGGCGUAAAGCGCGCGCAGGUGGUUUAGAAAUUCUGAUGUGAAAGCCCACGGCUCAACCGUGGAGGGUCAUUGGAAACUAAUAAACUUGAGUGCAGGAGAGAAAAGUGGAAUUCCUCGUGUAGCGGUGAAAUGCGUAGAGAUUAGGAGGAACACCGGUGGCGAAAGCGGCUUUUUGGCCUGCAACUGACACUGAGGCGCGAAAGCGGGGGGAGCAAACAGG
rnacentral:rRNA from 1 species